UGGGGAAUAUUGGGCAAUGGGCGCAAGCCUGACCCAGCAACGCCGCGUGAAGGAUGAAGGUCUUCGGAUUGUAAACUUCUAUCAGCAGGGAAGAAAAAAUGACGGUACCUGACUAAGAAGCUCCGGCUAACUACGUGCCAGCAGCCGCGGUAAUACGUAGGGAGCGAGCGUUAUCCGGAUUUACUGGGUGUAAAGGGUGCGUAGGCGGCAUGGUAAGUCAGAAGUGAAAUUUUGGGGCUCAACCCCAGAGCUGCUUCUGAAACUGCUGUGCUAGAGUGUGGGAGAGGAAAGUGGAAUUCCGAGUGUAGCGGUGAAAUGCGUAGAGAUUCGGAGGAACACCAGUAGCGAAGGCGGCUUUCUGGACCAUAACUGACGCUGAGGCACGAAAGCGUGGGGAGCAAACA
rnacentral:rRNA from 1 species